CUCUGAAUAAAGGCCAAUUGCUAUAUAUAUAACGGCCAGGCACUCAGGUCCCAAAUAACAGUUUGUGUACUACAAUUAAAACAACCUCUCAACAAAGGCCACCAUUGAUCCCCAUGCAUACAAAUUAACCGAAUAGCCGCGGUUUUGAUUUCAUACGUAGUACCGCCCACCGCGGAACCAAAAUCUAAUUAAUUUUAAAUUACUUUCAUUAUCAGCUCCUAGCAAAGAAAGAUGCGUAGCUAAGAAGCAGUAGCAGUUUUCUGCAGGCAACUUUGUUGCAAACUAGUCUAGAAUAGCUACUCUGCCAGGAUGUCUAUGUUUUGAAUGGAGGAGUAUACCAGCCAAGGCCCCAGCAAAGGAUCAUUUCACAAAUAACCUCUGAGUGUGUGAAAUAUACUGGAAGAGUAGCUUCUGUGGCAAAGAAAGAUGCACCCCUUAGUAACAGUAACAGUUCUCUUCAAGCUACCUUGUAGUUCUAUCUGAACAGUCGAAGAGUCAACCAGCCAAGGACAGAGCGAGAGAUUACUUUAGAGGUCUGUGAAACAAUCGUCACUGCUAUCUGCCAUGGAACCACCACCAUCUUAUGGGUCUGAGAAGUCCAACUCACUGUCACUACUAUCCAAGAUACCCAGGAUACCUCAUCCCCAUGUGUACAGAGGCCUCUUUGUUAUUGUUGUACCAUAGAAUUAAUUGUAAUUGUAUUUAUUAUAAUGUAUGUUCACUUUUGAGAUUGAUAUUGAAUUUAUAUAAAUACAAAUUUCACACGAAAUUUUAAGCAAAUUUUUGAUUGGUGACCUAUGGCGAUCGGACUUGGUAUGGCUUCUGUUGACCUUCGAGAGAAGCCUUGCAAAGAUGUGGAGCUCAGAAAGGUUGUAGCUUACCACAAAAUAAAUAAGAGUAGAGUAAUGUGCGGUUGACACAAAUAUGCGUCAUCCGCGGCUAACAGCUUAUUCCUUAAUGACGCAAAUUUGCGUCAACCGCGGCUAAUCGGUUAAGGUGUUUGUUAUAGAGGGAUUCCACUGUACAUGCUCCUAUAGCUAUAAUUAUAGUGUUGUGUGUGUAUUAUGAGUUGCAACAUUAUUGUCCUAUACAAUCGUGUGUGUGUAUUCUAACCCUCUGCCCUUGUACCCACAGCUACUAUACUCAACUACAUCUUAUCAGUCAUAAUUCAAUCAUCAACUCAUUUUAUUUAUUGGGGGCCCCUUCAUAUUUUCAUUUCUUUUUUCGUUUUCGUUGUUAUAAAUCAUGAAAGAAGAAGAAAAAUGAUCAGGAGGAGGAGUGGUCAGGCCACACCUACAAUGUACAUGUGACCACGCCUCUAAUGCAAGGUCACACCCACCUUUCCACACCUUCAUGUGAGCUGUGGGUGUGCCUAGUACUACAUACACACAUGAUGCUUUGUCCCUGUAUAUAGACAGUACGUAUAACUAUAGUCGAUUUCUAACCACCUGGAUUUAACAUAACCUUCAAACCAACUGGAAACUAACAGAAUGUUCCAAUCAACUGGACUGGGAUAGCCUCAAUAGAUAUCCCAGAUGGUCCCAUGGGCGGAUGGACGGGGGGGCCAGCGAUGCAGUGCCACAUACUCGCGACGGUGCUGGCUGUCACACUGCAUGGAGGGAGGACUAUCUCUCUAUAGUGUGCAAGAGCACUGCAAACUGAACACACUUUUGUAAUUUCAAUUUCUCAAUGAUUUGCUAUAAUUAAUGUGGUUUUGAAAAUUUAAUAAGAAAUUUGAACACAACAA